ensembl:lncRNA
GUUUCAGUGUUUCAGUGUUUCAGUAUUUCAGUGUUUCAGUAUUUCAGUUGUUCAGUGUUUCAGUGUUUCAGUAUUUCAGUGUUUCAGUGUUUCAGUGUUUCAGUAUUUCAGUGUUUCAGUGUUUUAGUGUUUCAGUGUUUCAGUGUUUAGUUAUUUUAGUGUUACAGCAUUUUAAUGUUUCAGUGUUUCAGUGUUUCAGUGUUUUAGUGUUUCAGUGUUUCAGUGUUUCAGUGUUUUAGUGUUUCAGUAUUUCAGUGUUUCAGUGUUUCAGUGUUUCAGUGCUUCAGUAUGUGAGUGUAUGAAAGUUAUACACUCUGUAUUAAUCUGAAAUAUAUGAGUGAGCUGGAGAGUCGCUUCCGUCAGCUGUUACAUGUUUGAAGACCGUGAGGUUU